rnacentral:lncRNA from 13 species
UCUCCAGGCUGCAGUGCAGAGGUGUGAUCUCAGAUCACUGCAGCAUCCUCCUACUGCAUUCAAGCAAUUCUUCUGCUUCAGCCUCUCGAAUAGCUGGGACUGAAAUUUCUCACCACCACCACGCGGGAAUUUUUGAAGUGUUUAGUACAGACAGGGUUUCACCAUGUUGGCCAGGAUGACCUCAACCUCUUGCCCUCAUGAUCUGCCCGCCUCAGCCUCACCACAUGCUGGAUUACAUGCAUAAACCACUGCGCCCAGCCUGCCAUCUGGUUAUCUAACAUCACCAAGUGAAUAUUAGACCUGUGCCAGCGGGACCCAGCAUGAUGUCAUCCUCAUGGUGUUUCUUUUUCUCUUAUUGCAGGAGAAGCCCGCCGCUUGGUGUCACCGCCGUCCCGUUGAGGUCCCGCAGGACCUCAUACUAGAAGACAUUGAGGAUGAUGAGCUACCCCGUGACGAGGUAAGAUGCAUUCUUCUGUCUCGAAGAGAAAUUUUUCUUUCUGUGGCCUCUGGUAUAUCAAGUGAAUAUCCUUUUUGACUGCCAUUGUGAAUCGGACCU